rnacentral:rRNA from 1 species
AACGAACGCUGGCGGCAUGCCUAACACAUGCAAGUCGAACGAGACCUUCGGGUCUAGUGGCGCACGGGUGCGUAACGCGUGGGAACCUGCCCUUAGGUUCGGAAUAACUCCCCGAAAGGGGUGCUAAUACCGGAUAAUGUCUUCGGACCAAAGAUUUAUCGCCUUUGGAUGGGCCCGCGUUGGAUUAGCUAGUUGGUAGGGUAAAAGCCUACCAAGGCGACGAUCCAUAGCUGGUCUGAGAGGAUAAUCAGCCACACUGGGACUGAGACACGGCCCAGACUCCUACGGGAGGCAGCAGUGGGGAAUAUUGGACAAUGGGCGAAAGCCUGAUCCAGCAAUGCCGCGUGAGUGAUGAAGGCCUUAGGGUUGUAAAACUCUUUUACCCGGGAUGAUAAUGACAGUACCGGGAGAAUAAGCGCCGGCUAACUCCGUG